rnacentral:rRNA from 1 species
ACGUAGGGUGCGAGCGUUGUCCGGAAUUAUUGGGCGUAAAGAGCUCGUAGGCGGCCUGUCGCGUCGGAUGUGAAAGCUCGGGGCUUAACCCCGGGUCUGCAUUCGAUACGGGCAGGCUAGAGUGUGGUAGGGGAGAUCGGAAUUCCUGGUGUAGCGGUGAAAUGCGCAGAUAUCAGGAGGAACACCGGUGGCGAAGGCGGAUCUCUGGGCCAUUACUGACGCUGAGGAGCGAAAGCGUGGGGAGCGAACAGGA